rnacentral:rRNA from 1 species
UACGUAGGGUGAAAGCGUUGGCCGGAUUUACUGGGUGUAAAUGGUGCUCAGGCGGAUUUGUAAGUCAGAGGUGAAAUCUCACAGCUUAACUGUGAAACUGCCUUUGAUACUGCAAGUCUAGAGUUAUGGAGAGGGUUAUGGAAUAUCUGGUGUAGCAGUGAAAUGCGUAGAUAUCAGAUAGAACACCAAUCGCGAAGGCAGUCACCUGGCCAUCAACUGACGCUAAAGCACGAAAGCGUGGGGAGCAAACAGG